UACGUAGGGUGCAAGCGUUGUCCGGAAUUAUUGGGCGUAAAGAGCUCGUAGGCGGUUUUCUAAGUUUGGUGUGAAAUCUCCCGGCUUAACUGGGAGGGUGCGCCGAAGACUGGAAGGCUUGAGUAUGGGAGAGGUAAGCGGAAUUCCUGGUGUAGCGGUGAAAUGCGUAGAUAUCAGGAGGAACACCGGUGGCGAAGGCGGAUCUCUGGGCCUUACCUGACGCUGAGGCGCGAAAGCUAGGGGAGCGAACAGG
rnacentral:rRNA from 1 species